UAGUGAGCUUUCUUUAUUAAU
ensembl:piRNA 21ur-12446 ncRNA